AUGCAGUAUUUUGUUUUUAUUUUAUUCUUAGGUUUUAUUACAUACAGUCGGGAGGAACUAUUGAAUAUAAGAGCAAUGUCAACUCACCAACAUUACAACCAGGAAUGCAACUUUCCCGAAGCGGAUCCUCUGUUUGGCCUAGCACGCAGGACAAUGGAUCGGAUCCCAGCCGGCGACCCAAAACAACGGCGCCGUAGAAGGGGCAGACGGAGCGGUCUUCUGGUCAGGCUCCGUAGACGGGCACAACGUGCACCUCUCCCGAGCAUACUACUCGCCAAUGUCCAGUCUCUUGGCAACAAGGUAGACGAAAUCCGAGCAAGGGUAGCAUACCAGAGAGACAUCCGAGACUGUAACGUUCCUUGUUUCACGGAAACAUGGCUCACUCGAGACACGCUAUCUGUGUCGUUACAGCCACCUGGUUUCUUCACGCAUCGCGGCGACAGAAACAAGCAUCUCUCUGGUAAGGAGAAGGGCGGGGGUGUAUGCCUUAUGAUUAACGAUAUGUGGUGUGAUCAUAACAACAUACAGGAACUCAAGUCCUUUUGUUCACCUGACUUAGAAUUCCUUACAAUUAAAUGCCGACCGCAUUAUCUACCAAGAGAAUUCUCUUUGAUCAUAAUCACAGCCGUGUAUAUUCCCCCCCAAGCAGACACAUCGACGGCCCUGAAAGAACUUCAUUGGACUCUAUGUAAACUGGAAACCACAUAUCCUGAGGCUGCAUUUAUUGUAGCCGGGGAUUUUAACAAGGCUAAUCUGAAAACAAGGCUCCCCAAAUUCUAUCAGCAUAUCGAUUGUGCUACCAGGGCUGGCAAAACUCUAGACCACUGUUAUUCUAACUUCCGUGACGCAUAUAAGGCCAUCCCCCGCCCUCCCUUCGGAAAAGCUGACCACGACUCCAUUUUGUUGCUCCCAGCCUAUAGACAGAAACUAAAACAGGAAGCACCCGCGCUUAAGUCUGUUCAACGCUGGUCCGACCAAUCUGAUUCCAUGCUUCAAGAUUGCUUCGAUCAAGUGGAUUGGGAUAUGUUCCGCAUUGCGGCGAUCAACAACAUUGACAAAUACACUGAUUCAGUGUGCGAGUUCAUUAACAAGUGCAUCGUUGAUGUUGUACCAACAGCAUCUAUUAAAACAUUCCCCAACCAAAAACAGUGGAUUGAUAGCAGCAUUUGCGCAAAACUGAAUGUGCGAACCACUGCUUUUAAUCAGGGCAAUGUGACCGGAACCAUGACCGAAUACAAACAGUGUAGCUAUUCCCUCCGCAAGGCAAUCAAACAAGCUAAGCGUCAGUACAGAGACAAAGUGGAGUCGCAAUUCAACUGUGGCAGGGUCUACAGUCACGGACUACAAAAGAAAAACCAGCCCCGUCGCGGACCAGGAUGUCUUGCUCACAGACAGACUAAACAACUUUUUUGCUCGCUUUGA
rnacentral:lncRNA from 13 species